GCCCGCGCAUUGUGCGCGCUGACUCGCUGGGCGGGGUGUCCGCCGGCAUGGCUUGGGCUCCGGCGGUUCCCGAGGGCCGACACUCCCGGAGUGGAGCUGGCUACACCGAGGCCCAAGACCGCCUCUGAAGCCGGCGGGCGCCACGUCUCAGAGGGCGGGCAGAGGCAGCUCGGGCCCAGGUGGAGAACAUCCUCGUCGAACGCCGGACCGCACCUCUGGGUGUGCUGGAGUUUGUGCCACCUAGAGCUCCCCCGCCUCUCGCCCGCGUUCUUCCUGCGGCGGCCCUGCACCCGUCUCUUUUCUCUUCCAGACUGGAACCCGCUCCUGAGACCGCACCCCCGGGACCGGAGCGCGCCCCGCAUCGUGCAAACAUUCCACUCAACAAAUAUUUGUGGGUUGUUCAGAAAUUGUUUCCUGCUCUGACCUGUGAAAGAACUAUCGAAGUAAAAAAUUUAAAACUUGUUAGGGCUUGGGUGGGCGAGGGCCAGCUUUAUUUUACGUACAAUAAAGUUGACCAAGUUUAAGUAAUUUUAUGACAAAUGUUUACAAAACAAAAGAUUCCCUGUGACCCAUUGCUGUCCGUUUCCUUCCCUUUUUCCUGGAAACCAUUGAUCUGUCACAGGUUCCUCUAUUCUAGAAUUUCACAUAAAUUGGACCGUAGAAUUAUGUCAUCUUUUGUGUCUGGUUUAUGAAAUACUUUCUAAUAGUCAUCCAGUGAAAAAUAUAAAAAUGGCUACGUUGGGCCGGGGAUUUAGCUCAGUGGUUCUGCCACCUGCCUCGCAAGUGCCAGGUCGAACUCAAUCCCCAGUACCAAAAAAAUAAAUAAAUAAAAUAAAAAUGGCUGCGUUGUUUUGAUCGAGUAUUUACCGUAUGCCAGGACUAGGAGAGCCCUUACAUAUAUUAUUUACUCUUCAUAACCCCGUGAAGUACGGUCCUUUCGUCUUACGGAUGAGUAAACUGAAACAGUAUUGAGCAACUUUCCUGAGGUCACAUGGCUAUAAAGUGAGCAAUUUCCAGCAGUCGGAGCAGUCUGAGGAGGGCCUGACUGACAGCCAAGGCUUAGUACCUCCCCACCCUCCACCUUUCUCCCCGGGGAUUUUGGAAAACAGCUUCCUGCACAUUUUCAAUGAGUCACCUUUGCAGCCUUGAUUUCUGCAACAGAACAAAAACUGUAAUGGUUGUGAACCUUUUUCACCAAGCUGAUCCAGAAAGCCAAGCCCAUCAGAAACAAAAGGUUAUAGAAAACAGAAUUAGCAGCAUUUAGUACGUCAGCAAAAGGAGUGUCAGGUCCCAAAGACAUCUUUUGCAAUUUCUUCCCAAUAUCUGCAGCUGACCAGAUACCUGUGUGGAUGGAGGCUUGCCACUCAUUUCCCAGUGCAUAGACCAUUAUAGCUGUCACAGAACCCAUUGGCCCAAGAUCCAGACUUAAUUGACAAUCUGUACAGGAAGAACUACUCUCAGAACAGUAUUGCAUGUCACAGGUAAGCUAUUCACAGUAUGCUGUCUUUUCACCAAAAAUAGCUUUACUCUUGAAAGUAGUAGAAGAGACAACAGAGAAAGAAAACCCUAAGAAUAGAAGCUGGUACAGAAUGCCAAGCAAACCUAGGGGAAAACAAGAUUCACAAACACACAGUCCUGAAACAUCACAUUGCCUAUAAGGCCAUCUUACCUGAGCCAAAAACUCUCCCAUAUUUCAGAAGAAUUUUAAGCCUAUGGGCUGCUGCAGCAUAGCAUAAAGAGAAGAAAAAGGCUCAUGAUCUUACUCCAAGGAUGAGGCAAUGGGGAGAGCUCAUCUUUCUACUUGAUGAAUCAACAAUCCAGUAGACAAGUCUACCAUUGUUCACAAGGCAAUAAUACCUGUUUUUGUACAAUAUAUUUUUUACAAAGAUGUGCACAAGGAUAUGUUAUAUGCACUUUUGUUGCCAAUCAACAACAGCACAAUAACCGAACUACUCCAAGAGAACUGAAUGGACCUAUUUUUUUUUUAGACAAGAUAUUGCUAUGUAGUUCAGGCUAGCCUUGAACUUACUAUGUAGUUCCAGGCUGGCCUUGAACUCGUAAUGAUGCUUCUGCUUCAGACUCCUAAGGGCUGGGAUUACAGGUGUGCACCAUGACACCAGGCCUGUAUUGGUCAUUUUAUGUCUAUAAGUUAAUGGUCUCAACUCUCCAAUUAAAAGAUACAGACUGACUGCUCCCAGGGCAGAGGAGGUGAGCCAAUCCCAGUGCCCAGGAGGAGGCUCCCCAGCCACCAUUCCACCACUCCCAGGGCAGAGGAGGUGAGCUGCAUGGGCGCCACUAGCACCCACCCCUUUACCCCUGUGUAAAUGAGAAGACACGUAAACAAGCCUCAAAAACAGACUUCCAGAUCACCUAUACAACCCCAAAGGGAA